rnacentral:misc_RNA from 1 species
AUGCCUGUUCGAGCGUCAUUGCAACCCUCAAGCCCUGCUUGGUGUUAGAUGUCACCGUCUUGGUGCGUCUCAAAGUUAUCGGCGGCGCGUCUCGGCUUCUAGCGUAGUAAUUCUCUCGCUUGGGGUCUAGAUAGGAUGUUGCCAGUGCCCCAAUUUCAAAGGUUGACCUCGGAUCAGGUAGGGAUACCCGCUGAACUUAA